rnacentral:rRNA from 1 species
UACGUAGGGUGCGAGCGUUAAUCGGAAUACUGGGCGUAAAGCGUGCGCAGGCGGUUAUUUAAGUCAGGUGUGAAAGCCCUGGGCUUAACCUAGGAAUUGCGCUUGAGACUGGAUAGCUUGGAGUGCGGCAGAGGGAGGUGGAAUUCCACGUGUAGCAGUGAAAUGCGUAGAUAUCGGGAGGAACAUCUGUGGCGAAGGCGACACCCUGGACCAGCACUGACACUGAGGCACGAAAGCGUGGGGAGCAAACAGG